GUAAACACUUGAGAUGUUUCCUCAUUUUUCAAGUAUCGGCGAAAAAGCAUUUAUGUUUUUUAACUGCCCUUGCAGGUCAUUUUGUUCGUGUUUUGAUGAUAUAUGAAUAUUUAAACUGAGCAUUUGUCACGAAAUCUUUACAACAGCGCAGAUGGAGGGGGAAAUGUUGUGUAGCUUCGUGUUUAUCGCCAGUUUGGGAGUUUUUCUUGGAACAGGAGUGGGAGCAUCGCGUAA